AUUGAACGCUGGCGGCAGGCCUAACACAUGCAAGUCGAGCGGAUGAAGGGAGCUUGCUCCUGGAUUCAGCGGCGGACGGGUGAGUAAUGCCUAGGAAUCUGCCUGGUAGUGGGGGACAACGUUUCGAAAGGAACGCUAAUACCGCAUACGUCCUACGGGAGAAAGCAGGGGACCUUCGGGCCUUGCGCUAUCAGAUGAGCCUAGGUCGGAUUAGCUAGUUGGUGAGGUAAUGGCUCACCAAGGCGACGAUCCGUAACUGGUCUGAGAGGAUGAUCAGUCACACUGGAACUGAGACACGGUCCAGACUCCUACGAGAGGCAGCAGUGGGGAAUAUUGGACAAUGGGCGAAAGCCUGAUCCAGCCAUGCCGCGUGUGUGAAGAAGGUCUUCGGAUUGUAAAGCACUUUAAGUUGGGAGGAAGGGUUGUAGAUUAAUACUCUGCAAUUUUGACGUUACCGACAGAAUAAGCACCGGCUAACUCUGUGCCAGCAGCCGCCGCAAUAA
rnacentral:rRNA from 1 species